rnacentral:rRNA from 1 species
AGAGUUUGAUCCUGGCUCAGGAUGAACGCUGGCGGCGUGCCUAAUACAUGCAAGUCGAGCGAACAGAUAAGGAGCUUGCUCCUUUGAAGUUAGCGGCGGACGGGUGAGUAACACGUGGGUAACCUACCUAUAAGACUGGGAUAACUUCGGGAAACCGGAGCUAAUACCGGAUAACAUUUAGAACCGCAUGGUUCUAAAGUGAAAGAUGGUUUUGCUAUCACUUAUAGAUGGACCCGCGCCGUAUUAGCUAGUUGGUAAGGUAACGGCUUACCAAGGCGACGAUACGUAGCCGACCUGAGAGGGUGAUCGGCCACACUGGAACUGAGACACGGUCCAGACUCCUACGGGAGGCAGCAGUAGGGAAUCUUCCGCAAUGGGCGAAAGCCUGACGGAGCAACGCCGCGUGAGUGAUGAAGGGUUUCGGCUCGUAAAACUCUGUUAUUAGGGAAGAACAAAUGUGUAAGUAACUGUGCACAUCUUGACGGUACCUAAUCAGAAAGCCACGGCAACUACGUG